rnacentral:rRNA from 1 species
ACGCUGGCGGCGUGCCUAAUACAUGCAAGUCGAACGAGAGCGACCGGUGCUUGCACUGGUCAAUCUAGUGGCGAACGGGUGAGUAACACGUGGGUAACCUGCCCAUCAGAGGGGGAUAACAUUCGGAAACGGAUGCUAAAACCGCAUAGGUCUUCGAACCGCAUGGUUUGAAGAGGAAAAGAGGCGCAAGCUUCUGCUGAUGGAUGGACCCGCGGUGCAUUAGCUAGUUGGUGAGGUAACGGCUCACCAAGGCCGUGAUGCAUAGCCGACCUGAGAGGGUGAUCGGCCACAUUGGGACUGAGACACGGCCCAAACUCCUACGGGAGGCAGCAGUAGGGAAUCUUCCGCAAUGGACGCAAGUCUGACGGAGCAACGCCGCGUGAGUGAAGAAGGUUUUCGGAUCGUAAAACUCUGUUGUUAGAGAAGAACAAGUGCUAGAGUAACUGUUAGCGCCUUGACGGUAUCUAACCAGAAAGCCACGGCUAACUACGUGCCAGCAGCCGCGGUGAUACGUAGGUGGCAAGCGUUGUCCGGAUUUAUUGGGCGUAAAGCGAGCGCAGGCGGUUCCUUAAGUCUGAUGUGAAAGCCCCCGGCUCAACCGGGGAGGGUCAUUGGAAACUGGGGAACUUGAGUGCAGAAGAGGAGAGUGGAAUUCCAUGUGUAGCGGUGAAAUGCGUAGAUAUAUGGAGGAACACCAGUGGCGAAGGCGACUCUCUGGUCUGUAACUGACGCUGAGGCUCGAAAGCGUGGGUAGCAAACAGGAUUAGAUACCCUGGUAGUCCACGCCGUAAACGAUGAGUGCUAAGUGUUGGAGGGUUUCCGCCCUUCAGUGCUGCAGUUAACGCAUUAAGCACUCCGCCUGGGGAGUACGACCGCAAGGUUGAAACUCAAAGGAAUUGACGGGGACCCGCACAA